AGGCGUUGGACUUAAGAUCCAAUGGGCGUGUGUCCGCGUGGGUUCGAACCCCACUUCUGGUA
rnacentral:tRNA from 1 species